GCAGCCGCGGUAAUACGAAGGGAGCUAGCGUUGUUCGGAAUUACUGGGCGUAAAGGGCGCGUAGGCGGCUUGGCAAGUUGGGUGUGAAAGCCCAGGGCUCAACCCUGGAAUUGCACUCAAGACUGCCUUGCUUGAAUUCGGUAGAGGUUGGUGGAAUUCCCAGUGUAGAGGUGAAAUUCGUAGAGAUUGGGAAGAACACCCGUGGCGAAGGCGGCCAACUGGACCGACAUUGACGCUGAGGCGCGAAAGCGUGGGGAUCAAACAGGAUUAGAUACCCUGGUAGUCCACGCCGUAAACGAUGCAUGCUAGACGUUGGAAGGCUUAGCUUUCUUGUGUCGCAGCUAACGCAUUAAGCAUGCCGCCUGGGGAGUACGGCCGCAAGGUUGAAACUCAAAUGAAUUGACGGGGGCCCGCACAAGCGGUGGAGUAUGUGGUUCAAUUCGACGCAACGCGAAGAACCUUACCAGUCCUUGACAUGUCCACUAUGGGCCUGAGAGAUCAGGUCCUUCACUUCGGGUGGGUGGAACACAGGUGCUGCAUGGCUGUCGUCAGCUCGUGUCGUGAGAUGUUGGGUUAAGUCCCGCAACGAGCGCAACCCUCAUCUUCAGUUGCCCCCGGGUAAGGCCGGGCACUCUGAAGAAACCGCCGGUGACAAGCCGGAG
rnacentral:rRNA from 1 species